rnacentral:lncRNA from 1 species
UGCAGUAUUAUGAGGACAAUAGAUACAUAUUGAAAAUAUUUUUAAUUGCAUAGUUUAAAAAACCUAGUAAAUUCACAGUUCAAAUGUACCAUGUAUUUCUUUUCAUAUAUGAAUAAUAAUUACUAUUUCAUAGGACAAAUUAUGUAAAAUAUUGAUUAUAUGUUGUUAUUCUUUUACCUCAUACAGUCUGGACAAGGGAGAAGCUUUCGCCAUAUUUAAUUACUGUAUUACAGAUUUUCGUCAAAUCUGGGACGUCAGACUCCUGCUUUAUGCUAAAUAAGUGUUAUUGAGGGAUGAGAAUGCACAAAUGAUGCAAAAUUUAUAUUUCGUUUGUAUAAAAGACGCAAACUGUGUGGUUUUAAUGAUACAAAAUGGUUUUAGAACACUCCUGUGGUUUUCCCAGAGGAAUGUUUAUAUUUAUGGUGCUUUUAUAGGGGUUCAAAAGGGGAUUUCCAGUUUAAAAUGAUUUCUCAAAACGAUUUUUUAUGAGAAUUGUCAUUAAAAAUGAAGAUAAAAUUUCUAUGGGUACCCCAUUUGGUUUAGCUUUGAUAUAUGUGAUUAAAAGGAUCAUUUUCUACAAAACCUUAUCCCAGUUGUUGGAUAAUUUGCUUCUGAAUGAAUUGAUAGGUUUCCAAAGAUGAAAGGUGAAAUGAAGUUUGGCACCCAGCAGUUGAAUCAAUAUAUCUUCAAAUUGGAGUCAUACAUAACAAAUCUGAAACACGAUUUUGUUGCUUUUUCAUGGUAACUUACUGGGAUGAAAUCAAAUUUUCAAUAUCAUUUGAAAUGAAUGUGCUUUUAUCAUCCAAGUUUUGAGAUCACUAUUGUGGUAGUUAAUGAGAUAUAUCUUUUAAUUAUACCAAAAACAAAUUUAUCGGUAAAUUAAAAAAAGAUUAAUAUUUCAGCUUUCAAAUUAGUUAAACGGGCACUAGGUGUCAAAUUCAUGGACACCGAUUGGACUCAAAUUCUCAUAUUUUAUUUAUUACAAUGUAAAACAUUUAUCCAAGCUAUCAAAAGUCUGAAGUAGACAAUUUACAGAGCAUAGGGUCAAUAAUAUGUAGUUUCGUUUCGUGUGUAUAUUAGUCUAGGCUCCAUCUAGUUAACUAUCGAGUUGACCUCAGAUGACCAUAUAAGAUAUGUAAACAUAAAUAUAGAUAUAAAUAGAUUAAGCCAUAACGUGAAAUUGGACUUUUAUAGGUCUGUUUAAUUUUAUUUUGUAUAUUAAAAAUAUAUGUUUCUCAUCGUUUUUACCUAUAGAAGAAAGAUUUUUGAUUCAUCAAAUGAUUUACCUUUGUUUCACUUUUAAAGGAACUUUAAAUAACCAGUUCGUGUAAAAUGCAUGCGUUGUUCAUCUCUAGUAAAGGGGUUAAAUUGAAGUUCACAUGAAUACGGAUUUAAUGAUGUCGAAUUAUUCACUUGCAAGUAAAUAACUCAUUAUCAAUAUUAUUUAGCCUAAUUUGACAAAUUUGAACCAUUUUGGCUGCUAAAAGCGAAUUAAUUUUU